UACCAGCACCCCGAGUGGUCGGGACGAUUAUUGGGCCUAAAGCAUCCGUAGCCGGUUCUGCAAGUCCUUCGUUAAAUCCAGCUGCUCAACAGAUGGGCCGCGGAGGAUACUACAGAGCUAGGAGGCAGGAGAGGCAAGCGGUACUCAGUGGGUAGGGGUAAAAUCCGUUGAUCCAUUGAAGACCACCAGUGGCGAAGGCGGCUUGCCAGAAUGCGCUCGACGGUGAGGGAUGAAAGCUGGGGGAGCAAACCGG
rnacentral:rRNA from 1 species